UGGGCAAGUGCUUUGCCACUGAGCUGCAUCCAAGCCCCAGGGUGAAUAAUUUUGAGACACACAGCAACUAUAGAUGAAAAUAAUAUAAAGAACUUCAAUGAAAGCUGUUGAUUGAUAUGAGGUUGAAGGGAGGGGAAAAAGAAACAAACUGUAUUGUGGGUUGGUACUAGCGAGUGUGGGUUGGGCUAACAAGGGUGAAAGAGGAUGAAUUUGGUCAAAAUAGGUUGUCAACAUGUGUGAAAACAAAACAGGGGGCUGGGAAUAUGGCCUAGUGGCAAGAGU